UGAGGAAUAUUGGUCAAUGGGCGCAAGCCUGAACCAGCCAUGCCGCGUGCAGGAAGACGGUCCUAUGGAUUGUAAACUGCUUUUAUUCGGGAAUAAACCUCCUUACGUGUAGGGAGCUGAAGGUACCGAAUGAAUAAGCACCGGCUAACUCCGUGCCAGCAGCCGCGGUAAUACGGAGGGUGCAAGCGUUAUCCGGAAUCAUUGGGUUUAAAGGGUCCGCAGGCGGUCAUAUAAGUCAGUGGUGAAAGCCUACAGCUCAACUGUAGAACUGCCAUUGAUACUGUAUGACUUGAAUUCGAUCGAAGUGGGCGGAAUAUGACAUGUAGCGGUGAAAUGCUUAGAUAUGUCAUAGAACACCGAUAGCGAAGGCAGCUCACUAGGUCUGGAUUGACGCUCAGGGACGAAAGCGUGGGGAGCAAACA
rnacentral:rRNA from 1 species